rnacentral:rRNA from 1 species
UACGAAGGGAGCUAGCGUUGUUCGGAAUUACUGGGCGUAAAGGGCGCGUAGGCGGUUGAAUACGUCUGAUGUGAAAGACCUGGGCUUAACCUGGGAAGUGCAUUGGAUACGGUUUGACUGGAGAGCGAGAGAGGAUUGUGGAAUUGCGCAUGUAGAGGUGAAAUUCGUAGAUAUGCGCAAGAACACCAGAGGCGAAGGCGACAAUCUGGCUCGCAACUGACGCUAAGGCGCGAAAGCGUGGGGAGCAAAC